CCAACCUCCAUUUAUGCAAAGAAUCCCACACGGAAUCAGCUCUUCAACAUAAAUAUUCGACCCAACUCUUAAACUUGUUCGGUCGGAUAAUAAAUGUCUCACAAGAUAAUCAUCAUUAUACUUCCAUCAAAAUAGUUACAAAGACAAAGACCAAAGUCAUCACUCCCCAAGCAUAAAUCAAACCUUUGGUUCUAAGCAUACUUCCCAUACCGCUUAAUAUUUUGACAUAUCAUUUCACUGCAACCAGUCGUUAUUCAAACAGUAAGUCAGUAAAUGCAGCCCUGUUUGCAUAGAAGCGAUGAAGAUUUGUUCAAAUUACAUGGCAUACCAAGGCAAUUAGAGACCCUGAUCAAUGAGAUAAUCACCAAGCCUUUCGGUAAUCAUGUUGCAUUGGCUAGGAGCCAUUGGUUCAUCA